ACGAACGCUGGCGGCGUGCUUAACACAUGCCAGUCGAACGGAAAGGCCCUGCUUUUGUGGGGUGCUCGAGUGGCGAACGGGUGAGUAACACGUGAGUAACCUGCCCUUGACUUUGGGAUAACUUCAGGAAACUGGGGCUAAUACCGGAUAGGAGCUCCUGCUGCCUGGUGGGGGUUGGAAAGUUUCGGCGGUUGGGGAUGGACUCGCGGCUUAUCAGCUUGUUUGUGGGGUAGUGGCUUACCAAGGCUUUGACGGGUAGCCGGCCUGAGAGGGUGACCGGCCACAUUGGGACUGAGAUACGGCCCAGACUCCUACGGGAGGCAGCAGUGGGGAAUAUUGCACAAUGGGCGGAAGCCUGAUGCAGCAACGCCGCGUGCGGGAUGACGGCCUUCGGGUUGUAAACCGCUUUCGCCUGUGACGAAGCGUGAGUGACGGUAAUGGGUAAAGAAGCACCGGCUAACUACGUG
rnacentral:rRNA from 1 species